UGAAGAUUGUAACCGUUUUUCGUGACCUCCUUUUCAAAUUCCAAACAGCCUCUUUCGGAUUGUAACUGACGGUGUUGAUAUAUCCAUUAAAUGGUGGACGAGCGUAACUGAUCUUAGCACUUAAAUAUGCGCUCCGGUUUUGUUACAGAAGCGAACACAUCCACAACCAUUGUUCACGUUCCAUACCCACUGACUUGUUGUUCGAGAAUCUUUGGUGAUUCUAUACUCAGUCUAUGGACGUUUCUUCUCAACACAAGGUACAACUGAGACAGCCCGAGGUACAAGUCAAUGAUGCACGUAUUGGUGAAAAAAGUAAACUUUGAUUUUAUACCUGUACAUGAAUAUGUCACUGUUGUGACCCAAAGGCUUAGAGCAAAGAGUA